AGACCCGAAACCCGGUGAUCUAGCCAUGGGCAGGUUGAAGGUUGGGUAACACUAACUGGAGGACCGAACCGACUAAUGUUGAAAAAUUAGCGGAUGACCUGUGGCUGGGGGUGAAAGGCCAAUCAAACCGGGAGAUAGCUGGUUCUCCCCGAAAGCUAUUUAGGUAGCGCCUCGUGAAUUCAUCUCCGGGGGUAGAGCACUGUUUCGGCUAGGGGGCCAUCCCGGCUUACCAACCCGAUGCAAACUGCGAAUACCGGAGAAUGUUAUCACGGGAGACACACGGCGGGUGCUAACGUCCGUCGUGAAGAGGGAAACAACCCAGACCGCCAGCUAAGGUCCCAAAGUCAUGGUUAAGUGGGAAACGAUGUGGGAAGGCCCAGACAGCCAGGAUGUUGGCUUAGAAGCAGCCAUCAUUUAAAGAAAGCGUAAUAGCUCACUGGUCGAGUCGGCCUGCGCGGAAGAUGUAACGGGGCUAAACCAUGCACCGAAGCUGCGGCAGCGAACGUAUCACCCAAGACAACUUUACGGAGUUGACGAUUGACGGAGCGAAGCGACGUCAAAGCGUUCAUUAAAGUCGAGUUGGCUUAGGGAUACGUUCGUUGGGUAGGGGAGCGUUCUGUAAGCCUGUGAAGGUGUGUCGUGAGGCAUGCUGGAGGUAUCAGAAGUGCGAAUGCUGACAUAAGUAACGAUAAAGCGGGUGAAAAGCCCGCUCGCCGGAAGACCAAGGGUUCCUGUCCAACGUUAAUCGGGGCAGGGUGA
rnacentral:rRNA from 2 species